rnacentral:rRNA from 1 species
GACGUAGGGCGCAAGCGUUGUCCGGAUUUAUUGGGCGUAAAGAGCUCGUAGGCGGCCUGUCGCGUCGACCGUGAAAACCCGCAGCUCAACUGCGGGCUUGCGGUCGAUACGGGCAGGCUGGAGUUCGGUAGGGGAGACUGGAAUUCCUGGUGUAGCGGUGGAAUGCGCAGAUAUCAGGAGGAACACCGAUGGCGAAGGCAGAUCUCUGGGCCGUAACUGACGCUGAGGAGCGAAAGCGUGGGGAGCGAACAGG